rnacentral:rRNA from 1 species
UACGUAGGGAGCAAGCGUUGUCCGGAAUCAUUGGGCGUAAAGCGCGCGUAGGCGGCCCGAUAAGUCCGCUGUAAAAGUCAACGGCUCAACUGUUGAAAGCCGGUGGAUACUGUCGAGCUAGAGUACGGAAGAGGCAAGUGGAAUUCCUGGUGUAGCGGUGGAAUGCGCAGAUAUCAGGAGGAACACCUAUAGCGAAGGCAGCUUGCUGGGACGUUACUGACGCUAAGGCGCGAAAGCGUGGGGAGCGAACAGG